rnacentral:sRNA from 1 species
UUUUAUGUGGUGCUGAGGAUUGAACCCAGAGCUUCCUGCAUCCUAGGCAAGCACUGUACCCACUGAGCCUCAUCCCUGCCUCUCAUAGAUUUCCAGGUUAAGUAUCUUUUAAAGUCACACGUUGCCCCAACAAGCAGCAUGUGUGAACUGUGUGGGAACCACACCUGCCUUUGUGUACAGGUGCCAGUGACUAGGCCAGGGUACUGUGCAGACUGAUGCUGUGUGGUCCCCUACCCACAGAAAGGCGGACAUUCACCAGGACUGCCUGCUGCAGGCUUACACAUGCGCGCACUCGCACACACACACACACACACACACGGACGAUGUAAUCCGAGGUCUAUAGGCCUUCUGGGCUUUGGGCUCUGCCCUCUGGUUGCUGAAUCCCUGGGGAGGCUGGUUCUGAGGUAUGGGUGGAAUUUUCAUGUUUCAUCCCUGUAUAACGUGCAGAAGAAGCUGUCUUUCCUGUGACUUCUUUCUGUGUGAUGCCCCUAGUGGAGCCUCCUCUGUCAAAUGAGCAGUCAUUACACAGAGCUCCGGGUUCUUACCAGCAGCCUGUGUCUGCAUGAAUUCAGCAUUGAUGCUGUGGGAGGUUUAGAACCCACGUGAUCUGGACCAUAGACGUGGAGGGGCCACUGUUGGCUUUUAGUGGGAAGGGUCAUAGAUGUACUAUGUCCUGAAGUUCAUGUGACAGCCUUGUACAACAAGGGAUUGUUAUAUACUCCGUGUGUGUCCUAGUGCGCUUGACAGUCCUGUAGGAAGAAAAAGGACUUCUGCUACUGUGUGAGGCUAACCCCAACUCCAUUUUACAUUUAAAACAUUAUUUUAUGUGUAUAGAUGUUCUGCAUACGUGUAUAUCAGUGCACCACAUGUGUGCCUGGUGCCUGUGGAGGCCAGGAGAGCACACUGGGUCAUCUCAGUGCUGGAAGCUGAUCCCAUAUUCAGCCCCAGUGGAACAUCUUAGCAGGCUAAGGGUGAAUCAGAGUGAGCUAGUAAACAGCCUUUCCGUGGCCUCUGUCCCAGUUCCUGCCUCUAGAUUCCUACCUUAGCUUCCCUCAGUUAUGGAUUGGAACCUGCAAGAGGGAGUAAACCAUUCCCUACCCAGGUUGUUUGGGGUCCUGGUGUUUAUCACAGUGACAGAAAGCUGCCUUUGUCUGUUGCCCAAAGGAUGUCCACUGGCCUGCUGAGUUGGCUGCAUACUUAGAAGUCAAGAACUGUAGUCUGGAUUCCUCUUGACCAUGCUCAUCCUGAGCUCAGUUGUAACAGUAGCAGAGCUGCUUAGAGGAAUUCAACACUGGCCAAGCAAAAUGCUGGGGAAAGGGCUCUGUGGUGAAGUGUUUGCCAUACAAGCACUAGGGCUAGAGUUUGGUCCCGGCAGGAGCCUCGCUUUCACCCCACAGUCUCGGGGAAUUGUGAGGGAGCAGGUUCAUUUCCUCUUUCACAUGGGGUGGAGGCAGUACAGGAAGGCCGAAUUCUAGAUACACCUGAGCAGUGACUCCUUACGGGUCUGACAGCUUUGUGUUGUCCAUCUAAGCUAUGCGCAUAAUCCUCUUCCAGCCAUUUUUUGUCAUCACAGGGUGGAAGACGGGUAUCCCUUUUAGUAUGAAUUAGCAAGAGUAGUAGGGGGCCUUUUUUCUGACCCCCCCAGGACCCAUCAUACUGACCGUUUACAUUGGAAGGGUAGUUGGUUGCCUCCUGUUCAGAAUGCAGUUGUAGCUUCCAGGCUUCCUUGCCGGUGUGGAAAUGUCUUGUUCAUUCUAAACCAAGGAAAUCGUGUUGUGGUUGUCCUCCCAUUCCCGUGAGUCAUUUGAGUGAAGAUGGACACGUGGGCAUUAACAAGGCUGCUGUAGUGUGGAAGUUCAGAGCUCCCAGACAUUGGAAAUCUCGCACUGGGUGGGUGUGCGCUACAGGAGGGGUGAGCCACUGAUCCCACUUGAAGGAAUUCUAAAAUCUGAUUCCUCCACUGCUCUUAGCACUUCCGCUGUCAUCUCGCCCACUGCUCCCUACCCCUAUGUGCCUGCUCGUCUGGGCACUUUAAAAGACAGAUCAGACACAUUAAAAUACAGAUCAGACACAUUAAACAGUCUUGUUGUUGAGGUCUAGGUUGGUGGCCUUCUCAACAUUAUGUCAAGCUGACAGCAUAAGAAGCCACAGAUGCAGGAGUCUAAUGGCCCCCAUUCAUUUGUCCACAGGGGAGUCACUGCAAACCUGGCAUCCCCUCAUUAAACAGUAAACACACCUCUGCCACCUUCCCAGUAAGGCAUCCCACGAUGCAAUGUGUUGGGGCGCUCAGCAGAUGGCCCGUGUCAAUCACAGACAACACCUUCCAUUGCAUAGUCAGUUCUUGUCAGAGCACUGUCUUUCCAGGUUCACUGCAGGCUGCAACCUUGAUAGAAUUUGGGAGAUCAGUGAUUACAGGAACCGGGUGAGCAUCUAAGUCCUGGAGGCCAUGAAAUGACUUAGUUGAUGGUGUUUAACAGUGGUGGCAUUAUCUCUUACGUUAGAGGCCAGCCUCAGCUACAAAGUGAGUUCCAAAUAAGUAAUCAAUAAACAAAUACAUAGGUAAGUAAAUGCUGUUCAUAAGCAGCCCAGUGUGGUAGCCACGCACCUGCUGUAACAGCACCCAGGACUCUGAGAUGAGAGGCUCGUAUAUUCAAGGCUAACCCAGACUACCUGCUGAGACUCUGAGGAAACAAGACAGGAACACAUAGGCAGCUUCCGCACAUACAUUGUGCCACAGAUGCCCUCCAGGUAGAAAACAUUUCAGCAAACUCAUGUUUUUCUUUUUACAGCAUCUUUUUAUGUGUGUUUAAAGCAUUACAGCACAUGGACUGGUGAGAUGGCCACCAAGUAACAGCAUUUACUGUGGAAGCCUGGACACCACAGUUUGAUCCCAGGAACCCACAGCUUACAGACAUUAGAGAUUAAAGUUUCUAGGUCACUGGUGCAGAAGCUGGCAAAAGGCUGCAGGGUGGUUUGGAAAGUCCUGGUUAGCCCGGCUCCAUCGGCACAGACUGUGCUUUCAAGCUGCGAGUCACCAUGCCAGAGAGGAAAGAAACGAAGGAAGCCUAACCAUCUCCCCAGCCCAGAGCCCUUCCCACCCUCAGGGUGCACGUUAGCCUGGAUAAGCGCCUGGCUUCAGCAGCAGGUGGGAGUGUGGUCACAUCUGUAUUUCAUUGGAUCAAACAUCAGCUUUUAUUUGUUAUUUUCAAGAACUCUGAUUUUGGAUCAGCCAAUGGAAGCUGUGGUAGCUCUAACCCAAUGUGAACUGGUCUUUGUCAAGCUUUAAACUCCCCAAAGCUCUGAUUUUAUGUGAAGGGCAGAAAUAAUACUGACCUCUGGGGUUUCUUUUAAUAAAAGUAGUAACAACUGUU